GCACGGGGGGGUAACUUCGAUAUUUUCUUGGUAGGGGUGUGCCAUUUUUGCCUCAAAAAACGUACCCAUUUUAAUAUAACAUUCACUGAAAUUCAGUACCUAUAGUUAUAUAAUUAUUUAAGAAAGAAUGACCUAUACUUAUAUACAAUAUUUAAAAUAUGACCCAUGCUUAUAUAAGCACUAACUCAUCGGUGUUCAUUUGGGAACUUAUUUGAAAGCACUUUGUUUGAAAGGUGAACUUUCAAAUGAAUUGAUUUAAUUUAAUAUAAUAAUUGACCA
rnacentral:lncRNA from 1 species